CACAUGCAAGUCGAACGGCAGCAUGGAGAGCUUGCUCUCUGAUGGCGAGUGGCGAACGGGUGAGUAAUAUAUCGGAACGUGCCUAGUAAUGGGGAAUAACUAGCUGAAAGGUUAGCUAAUGCCGCAUACGACCUACGGGUGAAAGCAGGGGAUCUUCGGACCUUGCGUUAUUAGAGCGGCCGAUAUCUGAUUAGCUUGUUGGUGGGGUAAUGGCCUACCAAGGCGACGAUCAGUAGCUGGUCUGAGAGGACGAUCAGCCACACUGGAACUGAGACACGGUCCAGACUCCUACGGGAGGCAGCAGUGGGGAAUUUUGGACAAUGGGGGAAACCCUGAUCCAGCCAUUCCGCGUGAGUGAAGAAGGCCUUCGGGUUGUAAAGCUCUUUCGCAAGAGAAGAAAACUUGCUAUCUAAUAAAUAGUAAGCA
rnacentral:rRNA from 1 species